CAAAAACAUGUCUUUUUGAGUUAUUUUUAAAGUCUGACCUGCCCACUGAAAUUGUUUAAAUGGCCGCAGUAUUUUAACUGUGCAAAGGUAGCAUAAUCAUUAGUCUUUUAAUUGAAGGCUGGUAUGAACGGUUGGACGAGGUAUAAGCUGUUUCAUAUAAAUUUAUAAUAGAAUUUUAUAUUUUAGUCAAAAAGCUAAAAUAUAUUUAAAAGACGAGAAGACCCUAUAAAUCUUUAUAUUUUGUGUUGUUUAAAUUUUUUGGGAUUGGUUUAUUUUUAUAAUAUAAAAUAUUUUGUUGGGGUGAUAUUAAAAUUUAAUUAACUUUUAAUUAUUUAAAAUCAUUAAUUUAUGAGUUAUUGAUCCAUUAAUAGUGAUUAUAAGAUUAAGUUACUUUAGGGAUAACAGCGUAAUUUUUUUGGAGAGUUCAUAUCGAUAAAAAAGUUUGCGACCUCGAUGUUGGAUUAAGAUAUAAUUUUAGGUGCAGUCGCUUAAA
rnacentral:rRNA from 1 species